rnacentral:tRNA from 1 species
AGCUAAUUAAGUGUUUAACUUACCGCACAUUGGCCUUUCACGCCAAAAGAGCACUGCGUGCAUUUAGCUAC